AGAGCGGAGGGUGCUGACCGUUCACAAAGACAGCGAAGCGCAGGAAGUCCAGGUAUCUCCCCCCUCCGCAGGGGUUCCAGCCGAUGUCAGGGUAACCCUUAGAGAGGAGCAUGGGACACAUCUGCAGACCGCAGCCCGCCAGGUCCUGCUCUUGAAGAGCCAGCGCCAGCUCGUUGUUGUCGAUGCAGGAAGCUGCAGCCACGUCCAGAGGGGUGGAUCCUCGCAUGCCUGCAGAGGUAAAUAAGAUUCCUGACUUGCAGAUUCUGACCUGUUCUCCUCUGGGAUGUGCAGAGCCAUCAUGAUGAGAGGUUCCGUGCACUCCACGCUCCAGCCCAGCCUCUCGCUCACUUUGCCCACCACCGGUUUGAGGAAGUGGUUGGGCAUACGACUCCAGAUAACCGGGGUCAGCAUCUGGACGUCCAGCCUGGGCGGGCACUGCGGGACCGGGUUGUUGCGCUCGCUGCGGAACAUGGCUGCUGAGAUGGGCAUGAUAUUCUAAGGGGGCAAGGGGGGAAUGUAUAGAAACAGUAAUAAGCAAGAGAAAAUAAUGAAGUUGAGCUGACCGAAAAUAGGUCACAUUUGAUACACUUUCUGUUAUAUUUGUAUUUGUUUCUCUGUGGUUUGCUUCAGCCCUGUUAGUAAGAGCUGCAGUGACCCAAGUCUUAAUUUUGACUACCUUUAGGCCCCCAAGAAGAAAAAUAUUGAAGAUUAAACAGGCCCUCAGUAAACUAAAUGAAGUGAACGUGUUAUAUUUACAGUAUGUCAUUGAAAAACAAAGAAAAAACACAUUAGAAGGACAAUUGUUCUUUCCAGCUAAGCUUUUUUUCACAUCCUUGUAAAAAAACAAUAUGGGGCAACCAGUCAGUUGUCACCAUUAACCAGACCAUCAUUUGAGUCUUCAUUUAAAAUGAAUGGUAAUGUAAUGUUAAGUUGAUAAAUGUGUUGGUAUUUGUAUGUUAAUCACUGCUUUUAACUGUUUAAUAAUUCUAAGUGUGAUUGAUACAUCUUGCUGCCCAGGGACUGCAGAUGGAAAUGAUCUAAUUGCCUAAUCUGGCAUAAAUCAUGUGUUCUAUUUUUGAUAUUAUUGUACUGUGUGCAUGGUCCUUGUUUAAGUCAUUACAAGAAAAGAUGAGACAAGACAAGCACAAAAAAUGAAAGAAUGCAGAUGUGCAUGAGAUGUAGACUCUACCCUUUACUUUGACAUACUGUAGCUGUCACUGGCUAAUCUCUGGUUGGCACAGACUCCAAUCAGCAAUGCAGUUCCAUACACUUUUCUGAUACAUUUCAACAUUAAAUAAUUACUAAAUAAGA